GAUGAACGCUAGCGGUAUGCUUAACACAUGCAAGUCGUACGGAAAAGAAAUUUUUAGUGGCGAACGGGUGAGUAACGCGUGAGAAUUUCCCUUUAGGAAGAGGAUAACAACUAGAAGUAGUUGCUAAGACUCUAUAUSCCGUUUGGUGAAAAAAGCAAUUUGCCUAAAGAGAAGCUCGCGUCUGAUUAGCUAGUUGGUGGGGUAAAGSCCUACCAAGGCGACGAUCMGUAGCUGGUCUGAGAGGAUGAUCASCCMCACUGGAACUGAGMCMCGGUCCAGACUCCUMCGGGAGSCASCAGUGAGGAAUUUUCUSCAAUGGGSGAAACCCUGACAGASCAAUMCCGCGUGGAGGAKGAAGSCCUMCGGGUUGUAAACUUCUUUUCUCAAGGAGGAAGAUCUGACGUUACUUGAGGAAUAAGCAUSGGCUAACCCCUGYG
rnacentral:rRNA from 1 species